AUUUUUACUGUUUUUUGAUCAAAUAAAUGCAGGCUCUGUGAGCGGAAGAGACUUCUUUCAAACAAAUUAUUACACCAUUACAGUUUUUCUCAACUGCUAAAACACUAAACCCUAUUGUCUGAACCAAAUGCUCAGUUGCCUGAACCCACUGAUUAAAUCAAUCACUCUUUUGGCACUGUACCAAUAUACUGUAGUAUUGUAAUGGAGGGUUGGUCUAACUGUUUGUAGGCCUAGUAUUCCAUGUAUAUUUUUUGUAACUCCAUGUUCUCUUUUUGUAGAAUUGAAAGACUGCCACAUGGAGGUGGGAGGACAGGUAUGUUCUCCCCACACCAAGAGACCCUAAUUGCUGAUAUGGUCCGUGAGAACAAUGCCAUUAAACUGAAUGAAAUUCAGCAGAAGAUCAUUGAGGACCAUGUCAAUUUUGAGGGUAUCAACAGUGUCAGCCUCUCUACUGUUGAUCGUGUCCUCAAGCGCAACAGACUGUGCAUGAAACAGCUAUACAGAGUGCCCUUUGAUCGCAACUCAGACAGAGUCAAAGAGCAAAGAUUCCAGUAUGUACAGAGGGUUUUUCAACUGGAUGCAAUGGAAAGACCCCAUGAAUACAUCUACAUGCAUGAAGCUGGGUUUAAUCUCACCAAAAGGAGAAGGAGAGGCCGUAAUGUGAUUGGCCAUUGGGCCAUUGUUGGUGUUCCUGGGCAGCGUGGUGGCAAUGUCACAUUAUGUGCUGCCAUCAGCAAUCAUGGGGUUGUCCACCAUCAUGCCAACCUGGGGCCCUACAACACUCACCAGCUCCUCAUUUUCCUCAAUCACAUGCAAGAUGCUCUGUUAGGGCAGCAGGAUGAGCAUCCCAUCUACAGUAUGUUGUUGUUUGGGACAAUGUGAGUUUUCACAGAGCCCUCCAGGUUAGAGAGUUUUAUCAAUCUUUGCCUUCCACCCUACUCCCCUUUCCUAAACCCCAUUGAGGAAUUCUUCUCCUCAUGGCGGUGGAAGGUAUAUGGACACCAACCUUACACCAGGGUAAAUCUCCUGCAAGCCAUGGGACUUGCCUGUGGUGACAUAGGUGUGGAGGCAUGCCAAGCCUGGAUACGGCAUGCCAGGGGUUUUUUCCCCCGUUGCCUGGCCAGACAAAAUGUGGCCUGUGAUGUAGAUGAAGUCCUGUGGCCUGACCCAGUAUGGAGACAUGAUGCUGUGGCUGAGUAAUGCACUUAUUUGUAUAUUUUUGUACUUUAUUUUUACAUGGGCUUACUGUACACAAGUGGCAAACGCAUAAGAUUUCUGUUUUGUCUUUUUGUACAAGUGCUAAAUGCACAGGUUUUUUAUGUUUUGCAACAUGCAUUUAGCCUACAGUGAACAAUAAACAUUUAUUUCUCCAGUUUCAUGUCCUGAGCAUUGUGUUUCUAUUUUUCUACGUAGUGUUUAGUGACUGUUCAGUAGUGAGGAGAGGAGAGGAGACGAGAUGAGACGAGACGAGAGGAGACGAGAGAGGAAGACGAGAGAGGAAGACGAGAGGAGAGGAGAUGAGAGGAAAUGAGAGGAGACGAGAGGAGACGAGAGGAGAGGAGAUGAGAGGAGAGGAGAGGAGACCUCUGAAAUGCAGAGAGUGUACAUUAUUCAUAGGGAUCCGAACGAUAGCAGAUAGCGGCAGUGAUUUAGUGGCUUUGAUUUCUGUCACUGCAGGCUGUAAAGCACAGCAUACACAUACAGAGGUGAUGACCAUGUUUAAAGUCAAUGUAAGUCAAUGCAAACCGAUGAACGAAAAUCCAAGUUCUGCAGCAGACAGGACGGGGCAUGUUGUCACACGGGCUGGUUUGGUCUGUUGAUUUCAAACAACUGGUGAAAAAACAUGCCCCAGUCUCUGUCAUCCUCAGCAGCACAGGCUGUCUAUCUAUCUAUCUAUCUAUCUAUCUAUCUAUCUAUCUAUCUAUCUAUCUAUCUAUCUAUCUAUCUAUCUAUCUAUCUAUCUAUCUAUCUAUCUAUCUAUCUUUGUUUGUAUUAAUGUGUGUAGUUUUCUGGUCUACAGUCACACCACCAGAGUUUUAUUUAUUUAUUUAUUGCUAUUUUAAUUUAAUGUAUUAUAGUUUACAAUAUUUUUGCAGCUCACUGACUCGAACAAAUCUAAAAAAAAUGGUUAAUGUGGUGUCUAGCACCAGCUAGUGGAACAUUCUAAAACUGACACCCCCCCCCCCCCAACACACACACACACACACACACACACACACACACACACACACACACACACACACACUACAGUCUCUCUGCAUUAGUGAGUUCAUUUACACUAAAGGUCAGUGUUUUUCACUGGAUCUUUGUGCUUGUCUGCUCACAGGACGUGUGUCGCUCUCACAGACCGGUUUGAUUCACAUCUACCCUAUGAAUCACACUAAAUCAACUGCAGAUUUAGGGAGUAAAAAGUUUCAAAACUUACCAUGCACAGUCCUCUGGUGUUUUGGUAAAUGCACUCAACAAACUAGUAUAUGAUUUAACCUUGAUCUUUGAUCUCUAAAUGCAUGAACAGUCAGCACCGUUGGAAUGUGUUCUUUGUGAAUUCAUUUUCUACAGGUCUGUUAAAGUCACACUCGCACACAGGCUCCUGACGCUUUGUCUGAUCUGAGGCUCAGAUCAACUCUUUAUUCGUGUCAUCAGUGAGACUCACGCACAUGCUAUUGUGCUUCAUUUGCUUUAAAGCACUGCUAAACGCUGACCUAGAAACACAACAAGCACUUUUGAAUAGGCUUUGUGAAGAAUGCAUACAGGAGCAAUCAAUCAUGUACACCUACUUAAUGUUAAAGCUGCAAACUGAAAUUUAAUCUGAAUUGAAAUAUAAUCCUUAUGGCUAAAUAUAUAUAUGUACUUAACUAACAUAUAUCAUUAUCAAACCUCAAUGUGUUAAUGGUUAAAGAAAAUGAAAAAAAAUCUGUCUUUUAUCACCCCCAGUGUCACCUGUUGUCAUGGGUGUGAGAGCCGGCUACAGUGCCCACCGCAGGGGAGAGCUGCGGAGUGUGUAAGUGCGGAGUGAAUCAUAGCUUCAUAGCUUCCGCUUCA
ensembl:lncRNA